rnacentral:rRNA from 1 species
GACGAACGCUGGCGGCGUGCUUAACACAUGCAAGUCGAGCGGUAAGGCCCUUUCGGGGGUACGACGAGCGGCGAACGGGUGAGUAACACGUGGGUGACCUGCCCUCAGCUCUGGGAUAAGCCUGGGAAACUGGGUCUAAUACUGGAUAUGACUCCACGGUGCAUGUCGUGGGGUGGAAAGCCUUGUGCGGCUGAGGAUGGGCCCGCGGCCUAUCAGCUUGUUGGUGGGGUGAUGGCCUACCAAGGCGACGACGGGUAGCCGGCCUGAGAGGGCGACCGGCCACACUGGGACUGAGACACGGCCCAGACUCCUACGGGAGGCAGCAGUGGGGAAUCUUGCGCAAUGGGCGAAAGCCUGACGCAGCGACGCCGCGUGAGGGAUGACGG